rnacentral:rRNA from 1 species
CCUACGGAGGGCAGCAGUAGGGAAUAUUGCUCAAUGGGGGAAACCCUGAAGCAGCAACGCCGCGUGGAGGAUGAAGGUUUUCGGAUUGUAAACUCCUUUUGUUAGAGAAGAUAAUGACGGUAUCUAACGAAUAAGCACCGGCUACCUCCGUGCCAGCAGCCGCGGUAAUACGGAGGGUGCAAGCGUUACUCGGAAUCACUGGGCGUAAGGAGCGCGUAGGCGGGAUAGCAAGUCAGAUGUGAAAUCCUAUGGCUUAACCAUAGAACUGCAUUUGAAACUGUUAUUCUAGAGUAUGGGAGAGGUAGGUGGAAUUCUUGGUGUAGGGGUAAAAUCCGUAGAGAUCAAGAGGAAUACUCAUUGCGAAGGCGACCUGCUAGAACAUAACUGACGCUGAUGCGCGAAAGCGUGGGGAGCAAACAGGAUUAGAUACCCCGGUAGUC